rnacentral:rRNA from 1 species
AACGAACGCUGGCGGCAUGCCUAACACAUGCAAGUCGAACGAGACCUUCUGGUCUAGUGGCGCACGGGUGCGUAACGCGUGGGAACCUGCCCUUAGGUUCGGAAUAACUCCCCGAAAGGGGUGCUAAUACCGGAUAAUGUCUUCGGACCAAUGAUUUAUCGCCUUUGGAUGGGCCCGCGUUGGAUUAGCUAGUUGGUAGGUUAAAAGCCUACCAAGGCUACGAUCCAUAGCUGGUCUGAGAGGAUGAUCAGCCACACUGGGACUGAGACACGGCCCAGACUCCUACGGGAGGCAGAAGUGGGGAAUAUUGGACAAUGGGCGAAAGCCUGAUCCAGCAAUGCCGCGUGAGUGAUGAAGGACUUAGGGUUGUAAAGCUCUUUUAACCGGGAUGAUAAUGACAGUACCGGGAGAAUAAGCGCCGGCUAACUCCGUG